CAAUGGGCACCUCAAUAUUGUCGCAGUAACUUCGACUAGGACGACCGGACAAAAGCGUCCCUUUUUAAAGGAGCACAGAUAAUAAGAAGCUAUAUCACAUCAAAGAAUAGUGAAUUUACACGAUUAAAGAUACUACUGCAUCAGCUGCUACAACCGCGGGGUAUUGUCAGCAUCACCUCCUGAGUGAAACCUUUUAAUCUGUUUUGCCAGCAUUUUUUUUUUCCAUUUCAGUUUGCGCAAUAUUUGCCGUCUCUGCCAUACAUUUCAGUUGCGGUCGAUCGAAUGCCUUACGACCCAGUCGAAAAACGCUACGUACUUGCCGGUUAGGAGAAUACUGAUGUGAAAUUCCUACCGUAUAUGAGUCACAUAGUCCAUGAGAAGUAUUGCACAAAGUGUAGGAGGUUGAAAGCUGUGGAAGGAGGAUCACCGAAGGUGAAUCAGGGAGAAAAACAAAUGGAAAUCCCAUUGGACACAAGAUCUUCAGGCAGACCUUAAACCCCUGGCCAUUUUGCCUGUGUGAAUGGGUGAGUGGUCAUCAGAGGCCCAGGGUAUUUCCGUAGUACGCAUACAUCUUGGAGUUGUGACUGGAGACGAUUAUAGAUGCAGGGAAGGCAAGAUCAUCAAGGAAUUUGAAAACAAUUAUGAAAAUUUAAAAAUCAACGUGAUGGGGAUCCAGCAAAGAUCACUAACUAUGGAUGAGGGGCAAAUGAGGCCCAAUGUGAA